AGGUGAUAAGUACCUUAGCCGUUU
rnacentral:siRNA from 1 species